GUUCAUCUCCCGCUUCUUGUAACACUGACAUGUUACAAUGGAUAGACGCAAAUGGGAGAUUAUACUCACACAUUUUCAGGCAUGUGUACGCGGAUACUUGGUGAGAAAUGAAAUUCGUCGUGCGAGAGAGGAUUUUGAAGACAUCGUGAGAGAAAUUGAUGGAGGUUUAGAUCAUCUGAAGUGGGUGAAGAUAUCAGCCCUCUCUAUCCCCCACUUCACAGACACUGAUGGUUCUGUUCAACCCAACACCUCUGCUCUAAAAUGUCCAAAUCCAAGAACCGACAUUGGUGUCGGUUCCCAGAGUCCACCAGCAGCUGAGGAGGAGAGAGGAGGAGAGGACAGUCUUCUUCCAGAGAAGAUGGAAGCAGAGAGGGAUGUUUCACAAACCAAAAGGCAGGCUUCCCUCCCUGCAGACUGUUUUCCCAGCAGCUCCACUGAUGGGGAUGGAGAGAAGCAGAAACAGAGAGGAGCGGAAGAUAAAGAUGGAGGGAGCAUGGAGAACAUGGGUUACACCACUCCUGUCUGGAGCAGUGUGGACAUGGACACGGACUGUAGUCAACAGUAUCCCCGGCAGUACUGCUUGGCUCAGGAGGUGCCCCAUACCCCUGAGGCUCUGCGUCUCCAUAGAAACACCCUGACCAUGGAGCUCCUCUGGCUCCAACAGGCCAUUGACAGCAGGAAAAAGUACUUGUCACUGAAGGAAAGACUGAGUGUGUCCUGACAGCUGAAGAAGCAACAAUGGAAAGCCUGCCUGAAGAUGCUUUUCUAAGUCAAUAUGAGAUAAAAAAAAAAAUGCUCCUAGACUGUAUUUAUUAUCACUUUUGACAGAAUAUAAAACAGGGUCUCUGUGUGCAGGAUGUAUGGAUUGUAAAAUUGUGGCUAGAAGUCGACUGCAAUGUUAUUUUGUAUUUGUUGUUAUUUAUUCCCCUGUUUGUGUGCUGGGGAAAUCUCAACAGUUUUUUUUAUUUUUUCAGCUGUUCAUCACACACAAAGGGUUUUCUAUUUUCACCAGUCAAAUCACCUGUUACUUGCUGAUAACUGAUGUGAGUCAUUAAGGCCUACAUAUCUGUCCAUCUGUAAUUAAUGUCUUAAUUUUUCCAAAGUCUUAAAGAUGUAAAGAAAUGGGAAGUGGGAUUGUCUUUUUUUUUUUUUUUUUUUUUUAAUUUACUAAAUGUAAAUGAUCAGGAUACUAGAAUCAAAUAAGUUUUAUGUUACAGUGAAAUCUGAUCAAAUUAAUUUUGUUCUUUCUUAUUUUAGUUAUUUUAACCCUUACAGAUCUAACCACCCUUAGCAACCAAACACUGAUCUAAAAUAUGUAAUAACCUUUGAACCACUAAUCCUAUCAAUACAUGUAAAUAAUUCAGGUAAAAUGCAGUUUAUCAGCUUUACACUGGCAGCAAAUUAGACCCCUUUGGAUGUUCAGAGGCUCCAUAAUUAAUGUGGAAACACUGCAACAUUGAUUCAGCAGUAAAACUCAAGUAGACGCUUGUUUUUAUGAUUGAUUUACUUUGUUGAAAACGUCACUUUCGCUUCAGUUUCCUCUGUUUUGAUAUGAUAACCUUAAAUUUACAGUAGAUAAAAUGCUAAAUCACUUAGGAUAGGUUAAGUGCUGUUACUACAGAAACAGAACUAGGUCUUUAAGAGUUAAAGAUUGUCAUAAAUUUCAUUCCUAGUCAUGCACAAAGUCCUAAUCUAUUUUGUUCUCAGCAGCUGGAAUCAUAUUUGUACACUGUAUGUUAUUUAUUUUAUUUUAUGGAAAGAAGAAAUAAACUUUAUUUUUC
rnacentral:lncRNA from 1 species